GCCACCUUCCAGAGCAAGCAAUUUUAUUUUGCUCUAUAUGAUUCUUUGGGGGGGGGGAAUCCAGUACCCUGUCCCCCGCUACAGGAGAUUAUCCGGCAUCAAAAAAUUGCAGAAUGAUCCCCUUUGAUCUUCCCCGGCGGUGUCCGUAUUUAAAAUCUUUAGAGUGAGUAAGGAAUUGCUCCUCCGCAGAGUUCUUCCGGUGUAUCCGGCUAAACUUCACCGUGACUUAUAAACGGCAUUCUUUGAUGAUCUCGCUGUUAGAGUCCCGGAGGAUCUGACUGACCUCCCACAACUGAACCGCAAAGCUGCUAAAGCUGCUGGCGCGCUCCAGGGCGAAGCCACAGCGUGUUAAUCUUGGCGUAGCAAUUCAUAGUCUCUCGUGGAUUUUGACGAAAGUAGAACCGAAAAGCGCUCUAAUCGAUCUCUUGGAAAAAUACCAAGGGAAUGGACCAAGCGACCCUCUGGACAGCACGUAACUUGUUGGCAGACGCCAGCCCAAGCCUGACUGCCCGCUCAGUGUCGUAGCGGGGACAAGGGCCUGAAAGAAAGCCAGGUUCCUAACUAGGAUCUCUGAGCAGGUGGAGUUGCCCUCAAUCCCAAGCCACUGGAAAGCGCAGUAACAACAACUGCGUUUCAGAAACAAACAACGCCCCGGCCAGCUAUUCCCUGCUGGGCGACGCAAGGGGGAUGUCUGUCACAACCUCAUCAAGCGUCGCUGCCAAGAACACCGCGGGAAGCCUGCAAGGCUGGCGCCAGGACAGCUGCAACGGCAGCAAACGCCGAGAUCGCCCGUCCCUGUGCCCACGGAGUUGGGGGACAACGUCGCCGCCGCAGUCCUCGCCUCGCCCUGCUUCGUCCGGCAGCCGCUGCUGCAAUUCCCCCGGCGGCUCCCUCCAGUCGCUCUCCAAGGUGCUGAAAUCGCAAGCUGCCGCGGCGCCAACAGCGGCUCCUCCUCCAGACCCACCCGGGGCUCGCGCCAGGACGGGAGAGGAUGGACCGACUAUACUUCGUAGGGAAAGGAGCGGAAAAAGGACAGCCCAAAGAGCCAAUGGGAAGAGGAUAGAGCUGAGAGAGACUCAGCCUGGGAAGAGACGAGAGAGAGCCAAAAGGUCCAAUGAUAUGGCAUAGUGANACUGCCACUGUUACACCUUCUGACCCGAAUUCAUCCAUCUGCCAACAGCUGCCUUGUUCGCCCUCCUUGCAAGCUACGGAUGGACAAAGCUACAGCUACAGAAGCACAGAGAAGGGCUGUUUACUAUCAACCUGCUUUCACUUCAUAAAGAGGNGCCCGUCUCACUUCAGACUAUGCAGUGCAAGAGAAGUAGACACCCAUUCCCUGCUGGCAUGCCUCCCUUGUUCAUUAAGGCAAAGUGAAUGAAGUGAUAGACUUUGGACACCCCGUCUAGAGGUGUUAUGAGUGAUCGUCUGGCCAGUUUAAAUAAGAUAAUGGAGGNACAAAGAUCUUUCUGUUCUGAGAAGACCUGUUGCAAGGCUGGUUUCAAUUAUUUAAAUAACGCAAAAGAAAUAUUCAGCCCCUCAAACUUGUCAGAGCGCUAGGCUGGUCCAUUCUAAUUUGCUACCUCCACUCAGACCUGUCUUCGUUCAGGCAUUGCCUGUAAGAAUGUUUUCCUAUCCCUGGCAGUGUUUAAUAUUAUUUUAACUACAGAACUUUCUUCUGCUUUUAAACCUUUUAUGUUUACAUUGUUAACCAAAUAAGGAUGUGGUAUAUAAACGUCUUAAACAAACAAAUCAGUACAGUUUUCAGCGUCUAGCAAAUGUUGUUUGGAGGGUCAAAUCAGGCUCUCAAACUGCAGGCUCGUUACCCCUAGCUUGUAACAAACAGCUAGAAUGAAAAUGAUCCAGGAAGAGAAGGAGCCAAACUACUCCCAGUGGAGUCAGUGGAGUGGGUUUUACAUGGUCAAGCUGUAGCUUGUAAGGGAAGUGCAAACAUCAUAUAGCUGAUCUUUCAGCAGAGAUGAGGGUUUGGCCCUGUUUUGUUUCUUCCUACCUGGUAGACAUGUUUAAAAAAACAAAGGAGAAAUUCACUAUUGUCUGAAUUUGCCCGUGGACAAAAAUUUUUUUAACAACAAAAAGGCAACUUUUUACUUAGGUUAAAAACAGUGGACUGCAUGGCAGCGGGUACGCUUAUGAAAUAAGAAUAUUAAAUAUACUAUCACAACUAGAGAAAACUUGUAUAUGAUUACUGUCUCAAUAGCAAAAAUUAAUUCGAUUUAUAGAACUUUAAAUUCUGCUUUGAUGGGAAUAUUGGUUCCUUUUUGAUUGGUGGGAAUGUUUUUAGGAGUGUUUUUAGAGGUUUAGUAUAUAUUGGUUUUAUUGUAUACAUUUGUGUAAGCCAUCUCAAAGCCUACAGGCAAUGGGGCAGGAUAUAAAUCAAUUAAGUAAUAAUAAAAAUCAUAAUAUCUAGCA
ensembl:lncRNA